UACGUAGGGGGCAAGCGUUGUCCGGAAUUAUUGGGCGUAAAGCGUGCGCAGGCGGCUAUGCAAGACAGAUGUGAAAUCCCCGGGCUCAACCUGGGAACUGCAUUUGUGACUGCAUGGCUAGAGUACGGUAGAGGGGGAUGGAAUUCCGCGUGUAGCAGUGAAAUGCGUAGAUAUGCGGAGGAACACCGAUGGCGAAGGCAAUCCCCUGGACCUGUACUGACGCUCAUGCACGAAAGCGUGGGGAGCAAACAGG
rnacentral:rRNA from 1 species